UACGUAGGGUGCAAGCGUUGUCCGGAAUUAUUGGGCGUAAAGAGCUCGUAGGCGGUCUGUCGCGUCGGCUGUGAAAUCCCGGAGCUCAACUCCGGGUCUGCAGUCGAUACGGGCAAACUGGAGUACUGCAGGGGAGACUGGAAUUCCUGGUGUAGCGGUGAAAUGCGUAGAGAUCCGGAGGAACACCAAAGGCGAAGGCAGUGUCCUGGGGAGUACCUGACGCUCAGGUGCGAAAGCCAGGGGAGCGAACGGG
rnacentral:rRNA from 1 species